AGAUGUUGAAGGCCAUCUUCGAUAAUAUAUAUAUAUGUUUGAACACUUUCCCAACCAAUUCUCUCUUAGCAGACCUAUGCUCAGCUUGAUUCUCCUAAGUGAAGAAACGUACGCAAAAUUUAAAACUCAAGUAGCAGCAUCACAGGUGAGCUUGUUAUCUUAGGAUUGAACAUCUCGAUCGGGCACUCCCCCUGCCCCAUCUUAGCUACACAGUUAAACUUUUAACUUUCUCAAUGCUAAUAUAUAUUGUAUUUUGAAUAUACACAGUAAGAUAAAUAUAUAUUGUAUAUUUUUGAAAUUGGACAAUAAAGGACAAAGGGAGUGACUUGUUAUUGGUAUUCUUGUGUGAAUCAGCCCGUCGAUCAACAGCUGCGCACUCUUGACUUGUUUGAUAUGCUUAUGCAAGAUGUAAAUCGAGGUUAGAUAGAGCUAAUAGAGAAAGGUUCAAUCACAAUCUUGCAGAGUUCAAGAAAGAAGUCACUGGAAAGUCGAUUUGUUUCUCUGAGCAUACUGAUGUCGAAACGAUGAACUAAUUUUUUCACCCUCUUGUGUCUAUGUGAUGGCUUACUUGCAGCUCCGCAAAGACAAGAGGCCUGAUAAACUCAUAAGCAGUGAAAUGCCAACUUCAUCCCAUCAAGCAAUCCUGGCGCAAUCUAGACAAUGAGGCAUCCAUGUCAUGCCAGAGAUAGAUGUUCCUAGUCAUCAUGCUGAAUCAUGGUUGGUCCUGAUUGGAAACGAAAGCAGUUUGCAAAGUAUUGGUGAUAGGAUAGCCACUGGACAACAUUUGAGGAUGUUUGAUGCACUUUACAGUUGCUUAUAUAUUGCUUUGCGUUGCGUUUCUUGCGCUAGGAUUUUGGAUAUGGUUUCAGGAGACAAAGGACCAGUGAGGAUAUGAGUAGGAUGAAUAAGUCUAUGUUUAUGGUAUUUACUAUACACUUUUAACUAAUUAUUGGUCUAUAAGAUGUAGAUUCUCACAUUAAUUGCUACCCGGCUAAAGAAAUUUAUGUGAUUGUUGGCAUCAGUAUUGGUUUGGCUAUUUUAGUAAAUUUUAUGAGUGUGACAUAUAUUGUAUGUCAUUUUCUCUGUGUAAUUGGAUGCUUCGUGGGUUCGCACAACUGCUCAUAUAAGUUUACUAGAAGCCUUAGAGGAAGGCAUGGAUAGUAUCUCUGAAAGCAA